GUGAACGCUGGCGGUAGGCCUAACCCAUGCCAGUCGAACGGCAGCACAGUAAGAGCUUGCUCUUACGGGUGGCGAGUGGCGGACGGGUGAGGAAUACAUCGGAAUCUACUUUUUCGUGGGGGAUAACGUAGGGAAACUUACGCUAAUACCGCAUACGACCUACGGGUGAAAGCAGGGGAUCUUCGGACCUUGCGCGAUUGAAUGAGCCGAUGUCGGAUUAGCUAGUUGGCGGGGUAAAGGCCCACCAAGGCGACGAUCCGUAGCUGGUCUGAGAGGAUGAUCAGCCACACUGGAACUGAGACACGGUCCAGACUCCUACGGGAGGCAGCAGUGGGGAAUAUUGGACAAUGGGCGCAAGCCUGAUCCAGCCAUACCGCGUGGGUGAAGAAGGCCUUCGGGUUGUAAAGCCCUUUUGUUGGGAAAGAAAAGCAGCAGGUUAAUACCCCGCUGUUCUGACGGUACCCAAAGAAGAAGCACCGGCUAACUUCGUG
rnacentral:rRNA from 1 species